rnacentral:misc_RNA from 1 species
GAUGAAGAACGUAGCGAAAUGCGAUAAGUAAUGUGAAUUGCAGAAUUCAGUGAAUCAUCGAAUCUUUGAACGCACAUUGCGCCCGCCAGUAUUCUGGCGGGCAUGCCUGUCCGAGCGUCAUUUCAACCAUCAAGCCCCAGGCUUGUGUUGGGGACCUGCGGCUGCCGCAGGCCCUGAAAACCAGUGGCGGGCUCGCUAGUCACACCGAGCGUAGUAGCAUACACAUCGCUCAGGGCGUGCUGCGGGUUCCGGCCGUUAAACCCCUUUUUUACCCAAGGUUGACCUCGGAUCAGGUAGGAAGACCCGCUGAACUUAAGCAUAUCAAUAAGCGGAGGA